AGAAGAAGAGAAGAAGAAGAAGAAGACGAAGCGUCUUUUCUUCUCUUCUGAAAUUUUUGCAGAGAGAUUCUUCUUUUUUCUUCUGUUUUCUGUGUUACUGUGUGGUUAUUCAGAUCGAAUUGUUGAAGCAGUUCGUGUUUGAUUUCGGAGAUUCGUCUUCACAGUCCCGCGCGCCGUUUUUGGUUUAUUUGUUUUCGAUUUUGGAUCUAAACCUUGUUUAA